rnacentral:rRNA from 1 species
UACGUAGGAGGCAAGCGUUGUCCGGAAUUACUGGGCGUAAAGCGCGUGUAGGUGGUGGGACAAGUCUGCUGUGAAAGCGCCUGGCUUAACCGGGCGAGGUCGGGCGGAAACCUGUCCGACUCGGAGGACGGGUAGGAGGGGGGUGGAAUUCCCGGUGUAGGUGGUAGAAAUGGCGUAGAGAGUCGGGAGGAACACCUGUGGCGAAGGCGGCCCCCUGGGCCGGCCCUGACACUGAGACGCGAAGGCGUGGGGAGCGAACGGG